rnacentral:rRNA from 1 species
UACGUAGGCAGCAAGCGUUGUUCGGAAUUACUGGGCGUAAAGAGUGUGUAGGCGGUGCUCUAAGUUCGGUGUGAAAUCUCCCGGCUCAACUGGGAGGGUGCGCCGAAAACUGGAGUGCUGGAGCGCGGGAGAGGAAAGCGGAAUUCCUGGUGUAGCGGUGAAAUGCGUAGAUAUCAGGAGGAACACCGGUGGCGAAGGCGGGUCUCUGGGCCGAUAUCGACGCUGAGGAGCGAAAGCGUGGGGAGCGAACAGG